rnacentral:lncRNA from 10 species
UGAGUCUGCUACUGAAAGGAACCAAAAAUGACCUUGAAUUGAAACUCCUGCAUAGGGAGGUGCCGUGAUGAGCUCGGAGAGACCACAGCACGACUCUGCAAGUGUAUUCAGCACAACGUCACGGUUGCUUCCAGUUGGCCAGGGGGAUGCUGAUGAGGUGGUUUCCAGAUCUGAUGAAUUACCUGACUGCCAACGCCAAACUUGGGUUUUCCUCUCUGCAGGAUGGAGAGGUUGGAAGGGCUCCUCUUCAUAGGCAACCAGGAGCUGAGAAGACCUCAUUCAUGCUGAGAUAGUCCUGUCUUCAAGAGAAAAGAGCCUUGUCUUACUGUGUUGACCAGCCUGGAGUGCAGUGGUGUGAUCAUGGCUCACUGCAGCCUCGAACUCCUGGGUUCAAGUGAUUUUUCCUGCCUUAACUUCUCUAGUACUUGGGACUACAGGCAUGUGUCACCAACCUGGCUAAUAUUUGUAUUUAUUUUGUAGAGACAAAGUUUUGCUAUGUUGACCAGGCUGGUCUCAAACUCCUGACCUCAAGUGAUUUUCCUGCUUGGCCACCCAAAGUGCUGGGAUUAUAGGCGUGAGCCACUAUGCCUGGCCAGUUAUGAAUUCUUUAUGUGCAUUUUGAGGACUCAUUUGAAUCCAGGCUCAUGUACCACCUAAGACAGAUUGCUAAAAUACCUUCCAUUCCAUAAGUAAAUUUUGCAUACUUAUUGAAUUAUUUGAAAAUAUAUAUGUGUGUGUG